GAACAGUCUUCUCAACCACCGGAAAAGAGCGAUUGAAAGUUUUGGUCAGUUUUAAACGCCUUAGAGGAUGAACAUGUGCAAUCAGCACUACGAUUGAGGACGUGUUGUGACAUGACCCGGACAACAAUAAUUUCCAGAUAUCUCAGGUUCUGGUAGCAGCCUUCCAUUGAUCAAGACAUGUAUUUCUUCAUCUGGUCCAACCAACAAGCUCACUGAGCUCCUCUGCACCUCAUGUCGUACUCAGAGUCGAUGUCGAACUUCUUGUUGAUGUAGCAUAACACUGGCGUUCUUGUAAUAUGAUGCAGCCAUCGAUCCUGACAGCAAUCAAAGAUUGCGUUUGUUUGUGUUUGUGGUGUGGCUUGUCUAUCAAGGCGCUUCUGGCGCAUGAGCGAUCGUGCAGAUGGAAACAGCCGGAAAAUAUGAUUUAUUGAAAUGAAGCAAGCAACGCUAUAUGGGCUAAUUGUAUCAAUUUGAGGUGUUCUUAAUAUAUUACGUUGAAGGUUUUAUUUAUUGGCAUUAGUUUAGUUUGUAUAAGAUGAAAAUUGAUGCAUUUAUUGUUGUUGGAAUAUAGCUUCUUCGUUACAGGUGAGAUCUAUAAAUUAUUUUAUUAUUUUUGGUUUAGACUUUGGAUACUAAAGUAUCAGUACAGUACAUUAUGUAGCUUUUUGUAGAUGAAUUGAAUAUUUUCCUGUGAAACUAAGUACAGACUUACCUUAAAAACAAGAACAAAAGAUCCAAUAAAUCCACGUUUAAUGUUCGGUAAUUAAGGCGCGAAUUAUGAGAUUAUUUAGACGCGGCAUAGUAAUUACCUAGUGUAGUUUUACAUUUUGAUUAAUUCCUCGACGCUGUGGCGGUGGUGUUCGGUUGCUUUUUAUUGAACGUAGAUUUUCAUCACGCUGUCGACUGCUUGUGGAAAUGCUCCGUUGGCGCCAAUGUGGAUCGUGUGGACACAUAAUCCGGGAUAGCAAAUGAUAAGGAAAAGUCACUUGCUUUGCGUUGCGUACACUCAUCGAUCAUAAGCUUAAUUCAGGACAGAUAACCAUUAUCCAAUUAUUAUAACAAAAAUAAAAGAUUGCUAUAAUCAGGUUAUGUGACAGUACUUAACAGGUUUUUGCAGUUAACCUAAACACGUUGGCAACCUUUCAUGAUCUGUUUUUGUAAUACGGUUUUAUGUCAUCGGGACACAUCGAUUCGAUAGAGUGCUCAAAUGACAUUUAAAUAUUUACGAAUCGAUUGCAUUCACAAAAAAAAUGUUUGAAACAAAA